AGGGAAUUCUUCCUUCAGACUGCUGGGGCAUGCCCAGUGAGCCUGGCCAGAGGCACAGCUGUCACACUGAGGUGAGGUGAGCCUGGCCAGAGGCACAGCUGUCACACUGCAGUGAGGUGCCCAUGACAGGCACAGUCAGUCCUGUUGUUUGCUCCACAGCUGCUGGUACAGGUUCAGUAUUGCUCUGCCCCUCAGUGCUCUCAGGCAUCUCAUUAUCCCCACCUAACUUGGUCUCUGUUCUACAGACACAGCUCUCCAGUAGCUGUUCCUGGCUCACUGACCUUGCAAAACCCAGAGUUGUUUUUCUCAGUACCUCCUGAGAAGCGAAGGUGUGGGAACAAGUCUGUGAAGGAAAUAGAUCAACAAACCGUUCUGCUGAGCACGACUGAAGGGUGUGGUGCUGAGCACCAAUUUACCAGGCAUUGACAUAAAUUACAUGGAAAUUUACAGGCAGGUGGGCUUGCAAUUUGCACAGUUUCUGAUGUCUGACCUAUAGAGAGCUACAAGGAUCUGAAGCAAAGUAGUUUCCUUUGUGGACCAUUUAUUUGCUUCCAACAGCUUUAGUCAGUAGAGUGUAAAGCUGGUGUGGGACAGAGAAGGAAGUGAUGGAGCAUUAGAGAUUGUUGGCUGCUCUGCUUAUGGCACAAGCAGUGUUCCCAGCAGCUGGCAUGGCACAGCAUCAACAGGAUUGCUCCCUGAACAAACUGGGCAUGCCUCUCUCUGCUACCAGUCAGUGGAACAAAACUGGUGAUUUUCAGUCUGAACAAAAAGUUGCAUUCUAAGAAAUGUUGCCAAUACACAAGAGAAAAUAGAUGGAGUCUCUAAGCUGUGUAAAGAUUGAAAGUGAAGCAUCUCUCUUUGCUGUUGAAUCCCACUCCAGUCUAACAGUUGCUGGAGGAAUCUUGUUUCUCCAAAGUCCCAGAAAACACGGUUAUACCAGUUUUAUCAGUGCUGUUGUAAGCUGGUCAGUACAGGUCAUGGGCAGGGGUAUUCAGAAGCUUGUGCUCCUACUGCAAAGUAAGCCAAGGAGUGUUUGAUUCCAGGCAAGCCUGGACACUUGGAGCUACAUUUUAUCCUUGAAGAACCAGCUUCCUUUCCAUCCCAGAUACUUGAGCAGAAGGAAGGUUUGGUUUUAUCUGGAGCUGCUGCAAAAUUUUUAAGGGUGUCAGAAGAUGUAAUAACUUGGAAACUUGCAGAAAAAGUUGCAAUAGGCAUGGUUGGUGUCAUGUUGUUGACAGCUGCUUUGAAAAUGGUGAGCUGUAAGGAUGUUUAAGCAGGAGUCUUCUAGCAUGGUUAAAGAUAAAAGAACUCUUAUUUUGAAUUAGGUGUAGUUGUGAGUGAGGACUGUCUUGUAAUCUGAAAAGCACACAAUAAACUUGUACUUUGCUAUAAAAUUCCUUUAUUUUUAUUAGUGUUAAGAUAGCAUCUGGAGAAGAAGUAACAAGCAUCCAGAAAUUACAAAAGGCUUUUUGUAGAUGAUAUAUUUGUAUUAAGGAAAAUUUGAGUUUUAUCUUUGUUUCCUGUGCUGCAGAUGUACUUUUUUAUAGUGUUUAUAAUUUUAAUAUUUUACAUGCCUUCAUGAGUUAGUAAAGCAGACUUUAAAAAUUAAAGUAGUGGAACAGUGAUACUUGCCAAUUUUGAAUAUUGACGCAGCUAUUAGGAGCAGUUAAAGGUUAAUAAAGAUUUUUUUUCCUCUCACUUAGAAUAAAGGGUACUGUUAAAGAAACAGACUCAAACAAUGUAUAAAGUUUUUGCUUUAAAGCAUCAUCUAGUGUCAAAUUUCCCUGCUUUCUUAAGGAGUAAGAUUUGGGGAAUAUUUUCUCUGAGAAAUGCAGAAUGAUUCCAGAUGUUGAUGAAAAUAUGAAGAAAGAUGAAUACAUUGUGAUGGAAAUUCCCCAGUUUGUGCCAAAACUGUGUUGCAACUUCAUGGAAACUAACAGAUGGAAAAAGCAAAACAUAAUAUGAGAAAAAAAACCCACUUAAAAUAAUUAUAUAAUGAAGCAAAAAUUUGUCACUUCUAACAAUGGGUGAUUAAUGUUUUAAGAAAUAAUGUUGCUACUAAUUUAAUAACCUUAGGACCAUAAACUGAUAUGGAUGUUGCUACACUUCUUUGCUGUGACAAAAAUCACAGUUUGUCACCCACAAAGGACGGAAGAGUUGAAGAGGCCUGAAAUGGGCAUGGCAAUAACUUACGGUCCCAAAACUAAAGCCAUGCAUGGGAGCUGAAAUCUCAUGCUCUGUAUAUACAAUAUCAAAGUGAAGAGGGUGUGAGUAUUUUUGAGAUUGCGAACAUAAGGAAUCUUCUGUAGACAGUAAAGUUUGCUGUAUGUUACACAUGAAUAUACUAAGGGAAAACAAAAUAGACCCCAAGGAUAAUUUCCUUUUGCUUUCAGGUGAUCCAAAGUUCAAAUAAAAUAAAAUAUUCACAACCCUUUCCUUUAGCAGGGUUUUUUCACCAUGCAGCUGAACAGUGUUUUGGUUCCUCAUUAUGUAGUUCAGCAUAUAGAAAUCACUACAAACAAAGCUGACAUGGUGAAGUUAAAUUGGUGAAAGAUUUGAGUCUUGCUUGGAAACUGGAUGGGAAGCAACUAGGUAACUAAUCCCUGUGGGGCAAGAGAUGUUUUGGUGUGGCUAAGUUAAAACUAGCUUAGUGCCAGCAGUGUUUUUCUUUGAACCAAAUGGUGACAAUAGCCAGCAAACUGGAAUGCUGAGGGCAUCUGUCAUGUAGGAAGGCUCGUCCUGAGCAUGCCUCCAGCACUGGUUAUCUUCCAUCUUCACUGAAAUUAGUUGCAGAUGCUCCAUUGUUGACUCUUUCUUUCUUUUCAUUAUACUUUUGGACUCCAAAUGCUAGAAAGGGCAAACUUUUAAAUUUUACAUGCAGCUUGAUGAGCUUUUUGCUUGCACAAGCAUAAUAUUUUCUUCUUUUCCUAGGAGUGAUUAGUGUGGACAGUAUCCAGAACCACUAGAGUGGAUGAGAAGUUUGAAAUAUUUUUUAAAGGGAUUUAAGAGUCAUGAGUGGAGACUGGAAAUAACACUUCUGGCACUGCUGCCUCUCCUGGCCGCUGGUGGUGUCUGCUCACCUCUCCUAGAUCUUGGCUCUCCCCUGCUUGGCUGAAGUUUCUGCUCUCUUCUGAUCAGUACUCAAGUUUCAAACAAGUACUUCUGGGAAGUUUGAGGCAUUUUAACUUUUCAGGCAGACUAGUGUUUGCUUUUUGUGUUGGACUUUAAAGCUGUGGCAGUGAGGAUACAGGUGCUAAUGGUCAUCUUUGGCCAGUGUGAGGAAAUAAAUUUGUAAGCACAGCAUAAACAGUACGUUGUGGUUACAAGGCUGGAGUGGAUGAGGGCAUAACUUCGUCUUGUGGGCAGUUGUUUGUGAAGAUUAAGUAAAGGAAAUGUUGGUUUUGUUGGUUGAUUUUUUUUUUUAACAUUCAUAGAAAGGAGCAUCCUUUUGCAUGGUGUUCUUAUUACAGUUUAAAAAUUAUUUUGCAAAAGUGACUCCACGGGGCCCUUGCCUUAACCAGUAAUAAAAGCACAGUUAUUCAUAGACAGAAGUAUUCCUAAGGAUCCAUCCACUUCAACUUUAAUUUUUGGAGUACAACAGCACAUUUCUUCCUUGCUUCCCACCUGCCUGUAAUAUUUCUCCUGAGGCCAAUGCAUCCAUGUUCUUCAGCUGCAUUUUUUGUGUGGUUUUUCUGUGCCCUGGCUCUGCUGCAGACAUGAGGUAAUGAACCCCCCUAACAGAAUUGCAUCUGAUCUGGUUCCUACUGCAUCUUCUCACUGUGUAAACACAUCAGGAAGUAGGAAAGCAUUUCUGGAGUGAACAGAUGUGUUGGUCUGCUGGAAGCUUUGAAACCCUGUAUUUUCAAGUCCUCCUUAAUCUUUGUGAUGAAUUUGUAAGCUUCAAGAUGUUUUACAUCUGGUUCUGUUUGUCAAAUUCCUUUCAAGUGUUCCGUUUUUUGUGAUUAUACCAUCUGUGAUAAAAUGGGCAUUAAAUCAAAUACUACAUAAAGAUGCAUUGUCUGUUCAAAGCUAUACUAGAAAUGGAAUAUUUUGUAUUUUGUAUGUUUGGCCUAUUUUGGGUUUAAGUGAAAUUUUAUAGACAUUUCAGAAUUUGUGUUUAUACAUAAAACCCCAAAUUGUUAUGACAAAGAAUCACAGACUCUGUUCCUUCCACCUUCCUUCCUGAAAGCAGAUAAGUCAAUGUUUCGUUUUAAAGCUUUUUUUUUUAAUCUAAUUGAGAUUUUUCAAGCUCACAAAAUUUGGCAGAAAACAAAUCAAGUUUUUUAUGGUUCCUGAAGGCAAAUGACUUUCUGAUAAACACUCCAGUGUGUCUUCAUGUGCUAUUCAACGUGGGAGGUGUGCAGAAAUAUCAAAAAGAUGUUGAAAGCUUUCUUGCUUGACCUCUUAACUCUUCACCAGGUCAGCUUUUCCUUUGGCUUGAAUCUGGUGAAAUUGUUCUGUGUUUAAGCACAGAAAAGAAAUCCAUGGUAGAACAGUACUUCCUUCCUCAGCGCAUGCUGUGACCUUGCCUGCCUUUUUUGAAAACAAGUUCUCCAGGCUUCUAGACCUGAUAGUAUGCUGUAUAAAAUGUCUAGUUGCUACAUGUUCA